GUUACAGCCUCCUUCUGUAAGACAGCAUAGCACGCCCUAACGUUAUUUUUUUUUUACAAAAAUCACUUUAAAAUUUUAACUUAUACUAGUGUGCUGAAGAGAUGGAGUUUCCUAAACGUCUCUUAAUUAGGGGAGUCAUAUAAAAUUCAGCUUCACCUCCUCAUAAGGGUUAAAAACUAUUCUACUGAAAAGAAAGGGAAGAUCUAAAAGAAACAAAGACUGAUCUCGGAUCUAAAGAAAGAAAGAUUGUGAAGUAUGUAGGAAACUUAUCCAUGGACAGCUCCUGAAACCUUUUAAUAAGAUAUUCAGAGAUUGGAAUUUACAAACUACCAGUGUGGCUGCAAAGGAAGAUUGACCCAAAAAAUCAGUUUGACAGAACACUGGGAGCAGCAACAACAGAUUGACAGCACCACAGCCACUAGAAGGUGCUGAAAUAGUUAUAGUGCUUAGAAUUCCAGCCUUCACUCCACUCAAUCUAGUACAGGGAUUUGCAUACUAAUAGUUUGCAUAAGCCACUCUCAAUAGAGAAGAUGACUAGUCUCUAGAACUAGAAGUUUUUUUUGUGUGUGACAUGAUUCAUAACCAGCUGCCUCGAACAAAGAUUACAAACUGGAAACGCAG